AGAGCGAACGCUGGCGGCAGGCCUAAUACAUGCAAGUCGAACGGACCCUUCGGGGUUAGUGGCGGACGGGUGAGUAACACGUGGGAACGUGCCCUUUGGUUCGGAACAACUCAGGGAAACUUGAGCUAAUACCGAAUGUGCCCCCAUCCUUAAACAAGAUGGGUGGGAAAGAUUUAUCGCCAUUGGAGCGGCCCGCGUCUGAUUAGCUAGUUGGUGAGGUAAAGGCUCACCAAGGCGACGAUCAGUAGCUGGUCUGAGAGGAUGAUCAGCCACACUGGGACUGAGACACGGCCCAGACUCCUACGGGAGGCAGCAGUAGGGAAUCUUGCGCAAUGGGCGAAAGCCUGACGCAGCCAUGCCGCGUGAAUGAUGAAGGUCUUAGGAUUGUAAAAUUCUUUCAGCGGGGACGAUAAUGACGGUACCCGCAGAAGAAGCCCGGCUAACUUCGCGCCAGCAGCCGC
rnacentral:rRNA from 1 species